rnacentral:rRNA from 1 species
UUCCUACGGGACGCAGCAGUAGGGAAUUUUCGUCAAUGGGCGCAAGCCUGAACGAGCAAUGCCGCGUGAACGAGGAAGGUCUUCGGAUCGUAAAACCCUGUUGUUGGAGAAGAAAGUGCGUGAGAGUAACUGUUCACGUUUCGACGGUAUCUAACCAGAAAGCCACGGCUAACUACGUGCCAGCAGCCGCGGUAAUACGUAGGUGGCAAGCGUUAUCCGGAUUUAUUGGGCGUAAAGGGAACGCAGGCGGUCUUUUAAGUCUGAUGUGAAAGCCUUCGGCUUAACCGGAGUAGUGCAUUGGAAAU